rnacentral:rRNA from 1 species
GGUGGGGAGUGACGUCAAGUCAUCAUGGCCCUUACGGCCUGGGCUACACACGUGCUACAAUGGUCGGUACAAAGGGUUGCCAAGCCGCGAGGUGGAGCUAAUCCCAAUAAAACCGAUCGUAGUCCGGAUCGCAGUCUGCAACUCGACUGCGUGAAGUCGGAAUCGCUAGUAAUCGUGAAUCAGAAUGUCACGGUGAAUACGUUCCCGGGCCUU